rnacentral:rRNA from 1 species
AGAGUUUGAUCCUGGCUCAGGACGAACGCUGGCGGCGUGCUUAACACAUGCAAGUCGAACGAGAGCGUAGAGAAAGCUUGCUUUUUCUACAAUCUAGUGGCAAACGGGUGAGUAACGCGUAAACAACCUGCCCUACGGAUGGGGACAACAGCUGGAAACGGCUGCUAAUACCGAAUACGUUCCGAAAGUCGCAUGACUGUCGGAAGAAAGGAUGGCCUCUAUUUAUAAGCUAUCGCCGGAGGAGGGGUUUGCGUCUGAUUAGCUAGUUGGAGGGGUAACGGCCCACCAAGGCGACGAUCAGUAGCCGGUCUGAGAGGAUGAACGGCCACAUUGGAACUGAGACACGGUCCAGACUCCUACGGGAGGCAGCAGUGGGGAAUCUUCCGCAAUGGGCGAAAGCCUGACGGAGCAACGCCGCGUGAGUGAAGACGGCCUUCGGGUUGUAAAGCUCUGUUAUACGGGACGAAUAAUCUUGUGGUUAAUACCCAUGAGAAGUGACGGUACCGUAAGAGAAAGCCACGGCUAACUACGUGCCAGCAGCCGCGGUAAUACGUAGGUGGCAAGCGUUGUCCGGAAUUAUUGGGCGUAAAGGGCGCGCAGGCGGCUUCCCGGUAGUCCUGGCCGUAAACGAUGGGUACUAGGUGUAGGAGGUAUCGACCCCUUCUGUGCCGGAGUUAACGCAAUAAGUACCCCGCCUGGGGAGUACGGCCGCAAGGUUGAAACUCAAAGGAAUUGACGGGGGCCCGCACAAGCGGUGGAGUAUGUGGUUUAAUUCGACGCAACGCGAAGAACCUUACCAAGCCUUGACAUUGAUCGCAAGGAGUAGAGAUACUCUGUUCUUCUUCGGAAGACGAGAAAACAGGUGGUGCACGGCUGUCGUCAGCUCGUGUCGUGAGAUGUUGGGUUAAGUCCCGCAACGAGCGCAACCCCUAUCUUCUGUUACCAGCACGUAAGGGUGGGGACUCAGGAGAGACUGCCGCAGACAAUGCGGAGGAAGGCGGGGAUGACGUCAAGUCAUCAUGCCCCUUAUGGCUUGGGCUACACACGUACUACAAUGGCUCUUAAUAGAGGGAAGCGAAGGAGCGAUCCGGAGCAAACCCCAAAAACAGAGUCUCAGUUCGGAUUGUAGGCUGCAACUCGCCUACAUGAAGCAGGAAUCGCUAGUAAUCGCAGGUCAGCAUACUGCGGUGAAUACGUUCCCGGGCCUUGUACACACCGCCCGUCACACCACGAAAGUCAUUCACACCCGAAGCCGGUGAGGUAACCGCAAGGAGCCAGCCGUCGAAGGUGGGGGCGAUGAUUGGGGUGAAGUCGUAACAAGGUAGCCGUAUCGGAAGGUGCGGCUG